AAGUCUGAAAUGCUCUUGGGGUUGAAAAAACAUGACCCUAAUAUGCAACCUGCUUGUCAAGAUGAUUCAAAAGCAGGUAAGAAACUUAGACAAAAGGUAAAUCGAAAAACAGAAAUAAUUUCUAAAAUCACCCAAAUACAUGAAAAUGAUAGAGGAAGUACACAUGACUCAUUAAAUAAGAAGCUCUGUCAGAAGGUUAAUAUAUCAAAAAUCAUUUCUCAAAUGAACCAAAUAUAUGAGACUAUUAAUGAAGAUGGAAAUGGCUUUAAAAGCUCUAUCAAAGAUUGCGAAGAUAUUAAAAGUUGUGACUUUGGGGAAAUCAACAGUAAUAAAAAGGAAAAUUAUGAUCCAAUUCAAGAUCCUUGCACACUGGUUAAAAAAACAAAGAGAAAGGGAUCAUGUAAAGCAGGGAGCAGUUUGGCAGGAGCUAAGAACAGGUGUGGUUUGCAGUUAACAGACUCUUCCCAGGUACAGUCUGUCCCCUUAGACUCUGGCUUAAGACACCAUCCAAACGAAGCAGAUUCUGGUCCUGGAGAGCAGACUAACCUGCCAAAGAUGCAGAAACAAAGCGCUGGGAGGUCACUGGGAGAUGCUUUCUCUGUGAGUCUGGGAAAAGAAGGAAGCCGCCCAGCCAAAGCAGUUAGUAAAAUGACACCCAAAUCAAAGAAGAGAAAGCUCCCUCUCGGUUGUUCUCCUGAAACCCACGGGACGGUGGAGAUAACACCCAACACUGACCUCGCUAAGGCUGUUGACUCCCAACAGACUGAGAAGGAGAACUAUUUGGAGAAGGAGAAAAUUGCCAAGAGGAAGCCAGAUUUUUGUACAAAGGUGUUGAAACCUUUAUCUGAGACAUGUUCAUCUAACAUAAAGAAUUCUUCCUUGGACAGUAUGUGUAAGAGUUCGCUACCUUUGAGUAUUUCUUCUAGAAAAACCCUGAUGCUGGAAGAAAGUUCUUCCCUGGAGAGUACAUGCAUCUUUCAAGUAGGUGAUGCCGCUCAUGAGAAGAUAACGACAGGCACACGUAAUCCCCACCACAGGACACAGAAGUCGACACCGGGUAGCAGAACGUCCCUGGUCUUGGUGGAUACCAGUUCUGUUUCAGAUACCAACCCUGCUAACCCCGAGAAUGAGUCAGAAGGGCAGUCUUCACACCCAAUGAGAAGGAAAAGACAGUGCGUCCCUCUCAACCUGACAGAGCCAAGCCUUAGAAGCAAGAUGAGGAGAUAAAGUCGAAGUGAAGUGGACAUGGAUCCUGGUUUUCCCGAGUUCUCAAAGCACGGGUCAGAACAGAAGCACAAGAAGAACAUGAAACAAAGACGGAUUCAGUUGUUUGAGUUUUGUACGUGAAGUGUUUGGUUUUGGUUUUGGGGUUUUUUUGGCCUUUCUUAGAUUUUGCAAGAUCUAUGUGCAUGAAAUAGCUAUAUCUUAGAUAAUAAACUUUUUUUUAAAAACAUUGGUCAUCACAUAACUUGUUGAUUUAAAUUUCUAUCAAAUUUAUAUAACCAAGCAACUAUUCUUAUUAACCAAAUAAAAUGUAUCAUUGCAUUGGUUAUCUUGUAUAUCAGGCUAUCUUGUCUUCCUAACAUUGAGGAUGCCAUCUUUACUGCUAAAACACAGGAACACACCACCCUGCCUGUGCAGUGGAGGUUGGAGGCCUUGUUAACAGAACAUUUACUUUGUGGGGAGGGUUGCCUUUCUGACAUCUGUUCAUGCUCCAGGAAUACUGACCUCCUGGAAUCCCUCUGACAGUAUAGUUUUUGUUCCUUUUUUUUUUUUCUACCUUUUAUGAGAUUUCCCUUUAUUUCUCUCUCCCAUGCAAAUUACUUCAUAUUUUAUACCAAGUAUCUUUCUUUUACUAUUGGUAGAGUUUGAUCACACUUAAAAAAAACGUUUUCAGGUUAUAAAGUACCCAUGGUUUUAAUUUAAAAAAUGUUUAGGUUGUGUGCGUGCACACAUUCAUGCUACAGAGCAUGUGGAGAGUCGGCUCUGCUUUCCUCAUGAGGACCUGCUAGAGGGUGGAACUCAAGUCACCUGCUUUGCUUUUUGCCCACUGAGCGGUUUUUGUGAGCCCUACAUUUAAAUUUCAGACUAAUACAGAGUUUGUUGUAUGAUGUGAAGUAUACCUGUAAUAUUUUACUAUUUCUCAAGUGAUUUAUUGACUUAAGAGCUCGUAUCUAUCUACUGAUUUGAAGUUUUUAGCGUUGUGUUGUAUUCCCAUGUGUGUCAAUUGUUGAUUUUCCUGACUCCUAUUCACUUAUGUAUCAUUUUAUCAUUAAUUCUCUUUAUUUAUUUUUUAAAUACAAAUUAAAAAAAGUUUUAAAGAUUU
rnacentral:lncRNA from 1 species